UACGGGGGGAGCAAGCGUUGUUCGGAUUUACUGGGCGUAAAGGGCGCGUAGGCGGUCAGCACAAGUCAGUUGUGAAAUCUCCGGGCUUAACUCGGAAAGGUCAAGUGAUACUGUUGUGCUAGAGUGCGGAAGGGGCAACUGGAAUUCUCGGUGUAGCGGUGAAAUGCGUAGAUAUCGAGAGGAACACCUGCGGCGAAGGCGGGUUGCUGGGCCGACACUGACGCUGAUGCGCGAAAGCCAGGGGAGCAAACGGG
rnacentral:rRNA from 1 species